rnacentral:rRNA from 1 species
GGGAUAGGAAAAAGGAUAUAAAAGAAAUAUAAGAAAAAAAGAAUCAAGAAGAAAGUAAGGACUAAUUUAGGAAGAUAAGCCAAAAUAAAAAGGGAUUAAUAGAAGAAAUACUAGGGGAUUAGAAGAUGAACCAGUAGAAUCCAACAGGGAAACCGAGAAAAGAGAACCCUAAGAACAGAAACAUCUAAAGUAUUAGGAGGAAAAGAAAUCAACCGAGAUAUUGGAAGUAGUGGUGAGCGAAACCAAUGAAAAAAAAAAUUUACUUAAGAAAGCUAAAGGAAAUUAGAACCAAAGAGGGUGAAAGUCCCGUAUUAAGUAAAAAAAAGAAAGUAGAACGAGAGAAAACUUGUUUGAAGAUAGGGGAACCAUCCUCUAAAAGUAAAUAUGUUAUUUUGAGCGAUAGUGAAGAGUACCGUGAGGGAAAAUUGAAAAGAAAGUAGUAAACUGGUGAAAAGAACCGGAAUAAGUUAGUCUAUAAGCAGUUGUAAGGAAAGUAGAAAAUGAACUGACAACGUACCUUUAGCAUAAUGGGUCAGCAAGUUGAUAGGUGAAGCAAGUAAAAAGGAACUAGAUGAAAAUAAGAAAAGUUUCAGUUAUCAGACCCGAAACCAGGUGAUCUUACCAUGAACAAGUUAAAAGACUGAAUGGUAGUCUGUAGCAAUAGGCACCAAAGAUUUGUGGUAGGGAGUGAAAAGCUAAUCGAACUUGGAGAUAGCUGGUAUUCUGCGAAAACUAUUUAAGUAGAACCUUAUUAAAAUAGAUUGAUUAAGUAUAGCACUGGAUAGAAAACAAAAGUUUAAUUGGGCGGAGUAAAAUCUCUAUCAUUUGUAUCUAAUCUAAUAAAGAAUCAAUAUAAUGAGUAGGAGUCAGACAGUGGGGGAUAAGCUCCUCUGUCGAAAGGGUAACAGCCCAGCGGUCAGAUUAAGGUCCCGAAAAAUUGACUGAGUGAAAAGAAUAAAAUUUAUAAGUUAACAAUCCUAAAGUGGGCUUGGAAGCAGCCAUCUUAUUAUGAAAGCGUACUAGCUCAUGGGUCUAUAUACUCUUAUAAAUAGAUAUUAAAUAUAUUGGGUCUAAGUCAAUUACCGAAAUUGACCAACCAUGGCAAAAGCCAUGAAGUGGUAGCAGAACAUUCAGUAGAAUCUGAAGAGACAAUGCUGACAUGAGUAACAAAAAAGAAUAUACAAAUAAUUCUCGCCAAAAGGAUAAGGGUUGAACAGCAAUAUAGAAUAGCUGUUCGUAAAGUAACGGUAUCUAAGAAGAUAAAUUUGAUGAAAAAAACUUAUUAAUUAAAAAGUGUAAAAGCUCAGGAAAAAAGAUUAAUAAACAAUAAACCGUACCCUAAACCGACACUGGUAUUCAGAAUAGGCGUUUGAGACAAUCAUCUUGAAGGAACUCGGCAAAUUACCUCUGUAACUUAGGGAGAAGGAGGAUAAUAAUAUAUAUAUUAUUAUGGCACAUACAAAAUAGGGAGCAACUGUUUACUUAAAACACAAGACUUUGCAAAAACAUAACAGAUUUGAUGUAUAAAGUCUGACACCUGCCCAGUGCUAGCAAAGACAGAGAUCUCACUAGUAAACGGCAGCCGUAACUAUGACGGUUCUAAGGUAGCGUAAUACCUUGACUACUAAUUAUAGUCUUGCAUGAGUGGUGUAAUGAUUUCCCUAACUGUCUCCAAGAUGAACUCAGUGAAAUUGCAAUGGAGGUGAAAAUGCCUUCUACGCUUAGCUAGACGGGAAGACCCUUUGAAGCUUUACUGUAGAUGAAUAAAGUCAGUUUAUGAUUGACCCUUGGUGGGGAACUAACUAAUAAUCCAAAAGAGAUCAUUUAUUGAUAAAAAAUUGUUUAUCGGGCAGUUUAACUGGGGUGGUUGCCUCCCAAAAGGUAACGGAGGCGUUCGAAGGUAGAGAGAAAAGUGAAAAGAAGUCAACUUAAAAGUGUAAUGGCAUAACUCUGCUUAACAGGCAGUCUAACAAGACAAGCUGAGAGGUAACUCGGACAUAGUGAUCCGAUGAUAACAGAAUGGAAUGGUCAUCGCUCAACGAAUAAAAGCUACUCAAGGGAUAACAGAUUCAUCAGCUCUUAUAGUACGUAUAGACGAGCUGGUUUGAUACCUCGAUGUCGACUCAUCACAUCCUGGAGCUGGAAAAGGUUCCAAGGGUUCGGCUGUUCGCCGACUAAAGUGGUACGUGAGUUGGGUUAAAUACGACGUGAGUCAGUAUGGACCCUAUCUACUAAGGGAAUAGGAAUUAAGUAUUUAUUAGCUCCUAGUACGAAAGGAUCGGAAAUAGUGAACCAAUAGUGUACCUGAAGGAAAAGGACAGGAAAGCCACGUUCAUAAAGGAAUAAUUACUGAAAGCAUAUCAAGUAUGAAUCCAAAAAAUACAAAAUACCUAAAAAAGUCGGUCAAGACUAGACCGAAAGAAAGUAGGCUAAAGAUGUAAAUAAUGCAAAUUAAUAAGUCAUUUAGUACUAAAACUAAAAAAACUUGAUGAUA